GGCCCUGUAGCUCAGGGGAUAGAGCAACGGUUUCCUAAACCGUGUGUCGGAGGUUCGAAUCCUCCCAGGGUCG
rnacentral:tRNA from 2 species